GUGAGAAUAGCUCAGCUGGUAGAGCACAGGAUUGUGGAUCCUGGGGUCGCGGGUUCGAUCCCCGUUUCUCACCCCA
rnacentral:tRNA from 1 species